UCCAAAUGUCAUCACCCCCUUGAGGGCUGAUUGGACACGAACUUGACACUUCCCAAAAUGCUUUGUAUGAGCAUUGUGCCGAACUCAGACACGUGCAGGUUUGUUGUAAAGUGUCUGGCUAAUGUGGCUGGAAUUGUUUUGUGGACAGCUCUAUGCACGUCAACAAGAAAGAGUGGGUUUGAACGUGCAUUUCCUGUCGCUGUCUGGAGCCAGGGAUCAGAGCGAACGUGCCUGGUGCCUUUCUUCCUGACACGUAAAUGAGUGAUUUCUAGGGAUCUGACAGCGAGGGCCCUGAGGAGUGGCCAUCUCACGAAGACCGACAGAGUCUGUGGAGAGGUCAUUGGGAAAACUGAAAAUAGUGA